ACCUGUUCUGCGAGAAAGUAAACUUUGGGCGCAAGUCAUGAAGUCGGCACGUUGGGGAGACACCGUGUCAUAAUGACAAGGAGGUGCUGGGGCUAAUGGUGACAGCCUGGAGCAUACUCCGGAGGCAGGUGGUGCAGAUGGAGAGCCCUCAUCCCUCUAUGCAUGUAGAAGAAUACCUUACACUUGAAGUCAUUCUGAAAAUACAGUGACUCAAACAGGUCUGGAGCUGCCAAGAAGCUCACAGUGAGGAGCAUCAAUAAGUGGACAAGGGCCAGGUGACAGGUGAUGAG
rnacentral:lncRNA from 1 species